rnacentral:rRNA from 1 species
GACGAACGCUGGCGGCGUGCUUAACACAUGCAAGUCGAACGAAGUGGCGAACGGGUGAGUAACGCGUAAUCAACCUGCCCUUCAGAGGGGGACAACAGUUGGAAACGACUGCUAAUACCGCAUACUAAAGAAGGGGUUUGGGUCUGUUUGGCUAGUUGGAGGGGAAACGGCCAACCAAGGCGAUGAUCAGUAGCCGGUCUGAGAGGAUGAACGGCCACAUUGGGACUGGGACACGGCCCAGACUCCUACGGGAGGCAGCAGUGGGGAAUCUUCCGCAAUGGACGAAAGUCUGACGGAGCAACGCCGCGUGAGUGAUGACGGCCUUCGGGUUGUAAAGCUCUGUUAAUCGGGACGCGGUACCGGAAUAGAAAGCCACGGCUAACUACGUGCCAGCCGCCGCGGUAAUAC